GAUGAACGCUGGCGGCGUGCCUAAUACAUGCAAGUCGAGCGAACAGAUGAGGAGCUUGCUCCUCUGACGUUAGCGGCGGACGGGUGAGUAACACGUGGAUAACCUACCUAUAAGACUGGGGUAACUUCGGGAAACCGGAGCUAAUACCGGAUAAUAUAUUGAACCGCAUGGUUCAAUAGUGAAAGACGGUUUUGCUGUCACUUAUAGAUGGAUCCGCGCCGCAUUAGCUAGUUGGUAAGGUAACGGCUUACCAAGGCAACGAUGCGUAGCUGACCUGAGAGGGUGAUCGGCCACACUGGAACUGAGACACGGUCCAGACUCCUACGGGAGGCAGCAGUAGGGAAUCUUCCGCAAUGGGCGAAAGCCUGACGGAGCAACGCCGCGUGAGUGAUGAAGGUCUUCGGAUCGUAAAACUCUGUUAUUAGGGAAGAACAAAUGUGUAAGUAACUAUGCACGUCUUGACGGUACCUAAUCAGAAAGCCACGGCUAACUACGUG
rnacentral:rRNA from 1 species